rnacentral:rRNA from 1 species
AUGGAACGCUGGCGGCAGGCUUAACACAUGCAAGUCGAGCGGGCGAGGUUGCUUCGGUAACUGAGCUAGCAGCGGACGGGUGAGUAAUGCUUAGGAAUCUGCAUAUUAGUGGGGGACAACAUUCCGACAGGGAUGCUAAUACCGCAAACGUCCCACGGGAGACAGCAGGGGAUCGCUGGUGACAUUACGCUAAUAGAUGAGCCUAAGUCGGAUUAGCUAGUUGGUGGGGUAAAGGCCUACCAAGGCGACUAUCUGUAGCGGGUCUGAGAGGAUGAUCCGCCACACUGGGACUGAGACACGGCCCAGACUCCUACGGGAGGCAGCAGUGGGGAAUAUUGGACAAUGGGGGGAACCCUGAUCCAGCCAUGCCGCGUGUGUGAAGAAGGCCUUUUGGUUGUAAAGCACUUUAAGUGGGGAGGAGGCUUACCUGGUUAAUACCUGGGCUAAGUGGACGUUACCCACAGAAUAAGCACCGGCUAACUCUGUGCCAGCCGCCGCCGUAACAC